ACGCACGCUGGCGGCGUGCCUCAUACAUGCAAGUUGAGCGCUGAAGGUUGGUACUUGUACCAACUGGAUGAGCAGCGAACGGGUGAGUACCGCGUGGGGAAUCUGCCUUUGAGCGGGGGACAACAUUUGGAAACGAAUGCUAAUACCGCAUAAAAACUUUAAACACAAGUUUUAAGUUUGAAAGAUGCAAUUGCAUCACUCAAAGAUGAUCCCGCGUUGUAUUAGCUAGUUGGUGAGGUAAAGGCUCACCAAGGCGAUGAUACAUAGCCGACCUGAGAGGGUGAUCGGCCACAUUGGGACUGAGACACGGCCCAAACUCCUACGGGAGGCAGCAGUAGGGAAUCUUCGGCAAUGGACGAAAGUCUGACCGAGCAACGCCGCGUGAGUGAAGAAGGGUUUCGGAUCGUAAAACUCUGUUGGUAGAGAAGAACGUUGGUGAGAGUGGAAAGCUCAUCAAGUGACGGUAACUACCCAGAAAGGGACGGCUAACUACGUG
rnacentral:rRNA from 1 species